ensembl:lncRNA
AUGUCGUACUUCUACAGAUCUGAGCAAACGGCGAGACUUCUCCUGAUGAUGUGUGUGUGGGGAAUCUUCCCUCUGCCGGCAGAGCAGUACCCUGUUCGAGAGGGUUUCAGUCUGCUGCUGUAUCCGUUGUCGGUGAUGGGGCCAUACGGAUCUCACACGGUUCUGAUACCAGUGACCGGGACUGAGCAGAACACACAACGCAGCCAAAAUCCGCAGGCAAACAACAGCAAGAUCAGCGCUCAAAGUGUGUCCAAGCUUUUACAUGCAAACAGUGCAUUUCCCCAGCCGGACCCUGGCCAUGGCCCUGCCCUGGACUCUGCUCCCAGCCCCGCUCCUGACCUUCACACAGUCCCAUCGGAGUCUUUGGUUAUGCGGGGGCAGAUAUCAAAUUUCGUCCCUUCAAACGUCCCUCUGCAGGUCUAUUCAUUUGUCCAGCAGGCUGUAAUUUUAGACUCAGGCAGUUCAGAGGAAGGAGCUGCUGCUCAGGUGAUUUAUAUGGUUCCUAUCAGCGUGGAUUCACCCAACGUGAGUGUGAUGGAGGGCACCGUGCCCAAUCCUGACCCAGGACACCUGCAGAUCCCAGCCAGCACCCCUGCUGUGGCCACUGCGGCACGACCGGACGCUCAGGGACAGCUGGGGAAAACUGUGGGGACAGAAAGAGCCACGCAGACACGCUCUGGGAGUGAAAGGCCUCUGACCACAAGCACUCCACAGGAAACACAUCAGCUGUCAAGAAAAUGAAAGGCCAUUCACUGAUGCUUGGAAACUGUUGUGUGCGGAAUUGUAAAAUAACUUCAGCCAUAAAACAGCUCUAUAGUCAAUGUGUUGUCAUUAUUCAGUGAGCUCAUUUAUUAGUUUCAGCUGAUCAUAGCUUAAUCUAUACAAUGAAUAUUAGUUUUCUUUUAAUCCCCAGAUCAUAUCAUAUUAAAUUGUCUUUACUGUGACUGUAGUUCAGAAGUGCUCCCAACAAUCAUCAACGUUUAAAUCCAACUCUCCUUUUAGACUUUAUACUUUGGAUAUGAAAAAGAGGCAAGUUACAAAGAAACACUGAGGUUUUAAUUUAUUUAAGGCAACAGAGGAGGUGAAUUCUGUCUGAUUACACAACGAGACGCUACCAGAUAAACAAGACAAAUGAUUGUGCUUAUCAUGUUUGUGUUAUUUGCCUUCGAAUAACACUGGAGUGCGAUUGAACUGCUGAUUGUCGUUUUUGGGAUGUGAGUUACUGUGAGAACUUGGCAUUUCCUCCUGGUGUGUGUGACCUUUGACCUCAGUAUCAUUUCCAUUCAGCGGAUUCGUUUAUUUACAUUAAAGUCUGGUGCCGUCCUUUAUUUGUGUGUUUAUCUAUUGAUAAUGGUUUGUUCCUGUAGUAAAUAACCUAGAAAUUUUCAUCUCUUCUAUUAUUGUGGGUAAAAGUAGUGAACUUAAUGAGACAUGAGUGGAUUUUGUCCUCUGUGACACAAAGUUCUUUAAUAUUCUAACUCUUAUUUAUUUAUCUUUACAUUCUAUAAGUGAAGUGUUUGUUCUAUAGCAAUACAG